rnacentral:rRNA from 1 species
ACGCUGGCUACAGGCUUAACACAUGCAAGUCGAGGGGAAACGACGGGGAAGCUUGCUUCCCCGGGCGUCGACCGGCGCACGGGUGAGUAACGCGUAUCCAACCUGCCUCUGACUGAGGGAUAACCCGUCGAAAGUCGGCCUAAUACCUCAUGGCAUCGUCUGCGGGCAUCCAACGACGAUUAAAGAUUUCAUCGGUCAGGGAUGGGGAUGCGUCUGAUUAGCUUGUUGGCGGGGUAACGGCCCACCAAGGCGACGAUCAGUAGGGGUUCUGAGAGGAAGGUCCCCCACAUUGGAACUGAGACACGGUCCAAACUCCUACGGGAGGCAGCAGUGAGGAAUAUUGGUCAAUGGGCGAAAGCCUGAACCAGCCAAGUAGCGUGCAGGAUGACGGCCCUAUGGGUUGUAAACUGCUUUUAUGCGGGGAUAAAGUGAGGGACGUGUCCAUCAUUGCAGGUACCGCAUGAAUAAGGACCGGCUAAUUCCGUGCCAGCAGCCGCGGUAAUACGGAAGGUCCGGGCGUUAUCCGGAUUUAUUGGGUUUAAAGGGAGCGUAGGCCGUGGAUUAAGCGUGUUGUGAAAUGCAGGUGCUCAACGUCUGCACUGCAGCGCGAACUGGUCCACUUGAGUGUGCGCAACGCAGGCGGAAUUCGUCGUGUAGCGGUGAAAUGCUUAGAUAUGACGAAGAACUCCGAUUGCGAAGGCAGCUUGCGGGAGCACAACUGACGCUGAAGCUCGAAAGUGCGGGUAUCGAACAGGAUUAGAUACCCUGGUAGUCCGCACGGUAAACGAUGGAUGCCCGUUGUCAGGCUGUUUCAGCCUGGUGACCAAGCGAAAGCAUUAAGCAUCCCACCUGGGGAGUACGCCGGCAACGGUGAAACUCAAGGAAUUGACGGGGGCCCGCACAAGCGGAG